ACUCCAGCACAACUAACUUGCUGCUGUUUUCCAAACACACCACAUUCUCAGGGACCUACAUUUUGGCACAUGGUGCACUCUUUGUAUGCAAUAUUCACCAACCAACCAAACCCGUGAUCAUCUUUUAAUGGGGACGCCAGACUUCCAAGGAGGCCUUCCCUGAUACCACACAUCUGGGCCAUUACUAAUGCCGAUUUUCACAAGAUGGCAAAAGGAGUCUUAAAAACAAAAA